rnacentral:rRNA from 1 species
CGUCGUGAAGAGGGAAACAACCCAGACCGCCAGCUAAGGUCCCAAAGUCAUGGUUAAGUGGGAAACGAUGUGGGAAGGCCCAGACAGCCAGGAUGUUGGCUUAGAAGCAGCCAUCAUUUAAAGAAAGCGUAAUAGCUCACUGGUCGAGUCGGCCUGCGCGGAAGAUGUAACGGGGCUAAACCAUGCACCGAAGCUGCGGCAGCGACGCUGAUGCGUUGUUGGGUAGGGGAGCGUUCUGUAAGCCUGUGAAGGUGUGCUGUGAGGCAUGCUGGAGGUAUCAGAAGUGCGAAUGCUGACAUAAGUAACGAUAAAGCGGGUGAAAAGCCCGCUCGCCGGAAGACCAAGGGUUCCUGUCCAACGUUAAUCGGGGCAGGGUGAGUCGACCCCUAAGGCGAGGCCGAAAGGCGUAGUCGAUGGGAAACAGGUUAAUAUUCCUGUACUUGGUGUUACUGCGAAGGGGGGACGGAGAAGGCUAUGUUGGCCGGGCGACGGUUGUCCCGGUUUAAGCGUGUAGGCUGGUUUUCCAGGCAAAUCCGGAAAAUCAAGGCUGAGGCGUGAUGACGAGGCACUACGGUGCUGAAGCAACAAAUGCCCUGCUUCCAGGAAAAGCCUCUAAGCAUCAGGUAACAUCAAAUCGUACCCCAAACCGACACAGGUGGUCAGGUAGAGAAUACCAAGGCGCUUGAGAGAACUCGGGUGAAGGAACUAGGCAAAAUGGUGCCGUAACUUCGGGAGAAGGCACGCUGAUAUGUAGGUGAAGUCCCUCGCGGAUGGAGCUGAAAUCAGUCGAAGAUACCAGCUGGCUGCAACUGUUUAUUAAAAACACAGCACUGUGCAAACACGAAAGUGGACGUAUACGGUGUGACGCCUGCCCGGUGCCGGAAGGUUAAUUGAUGGGGUCAGCGCAAGCGAAGCUCUUGAUCGAAGCCCCGGUAAACGGCGGCCGUAACUAUAACGGUCCUAAGGUAGCGAAAUUCCUUGUCGGGUAAGUUCCGACCUGCACGAAUGGCGUAAUGAUGGCCAGGCUGUCUCCACCCGAGACUCAGUGAAAUUGAACUCGCUGUGAAGAUGCAGUGUACCCGCGGCAAGACGGAAAGACCCCGUGAACCUUUACUAUAGCUUGACACUGAACAUUGAGCCUUGAUGUGUAGGAUAGGUGGGAGGCUUUGAAGUGUGGACGCCAGUCUGCAUGGAGCCGGCCUUGAAAUACCACCCUUUAAUGUUUGAUGUUCUAACGUUGACCCGUGAUCCGGGUUGCGGACAGUGUCUGGUGGGUAGUUUGACUGGGGCGGUCUCCUCCUAAAGAGUAACGGAGGAGCACGAAGGUUGGCUAAUCCUGGUCGGACAUCAGGAGGUUAGUGCAAUGGCAUAAGCCAGCUUGACUGCGAGCGUGACGGCGCGAGCAGGUGCGAAAGCAGGUCAUAGUGAUCCGGUGGUUCUGAAUGGAAGGGCCAUCGCUCAACGGAUAAAAGGUACUCCGGGGAUAACAGGCUGAUACCGCCCAAGAGUUCAUAUCGACGGCGGUGUUUGGCACCUCGAUGUCGGCUCAUCACAUCCUGGGGCUGAAGUAGGUCCCAAGGGUAUGGCUGUUCGCCAUUUAAAGUGGUACGCGAGCUGGGUUUAGAACGUCGUGAGACAGUUCGGUCCCUA